rnacentral:tRNA from 10 species
CACGCCAUUCUCCUGCCUCAACCUCCCGAGUAGAGUAGCUGGGACUACAGGCACCCGCCACCACGCCUGGCUAAUUUUUUUGGUAUUUUUAGUAGAAACGGGGUUUCACCGUGUUAGCCAGGAUGGACACGAUCUCCUGACCUCGUGAUCCGCCCGCCUCAGCCUCCCAAAGUGCUGGGAUUACAGGCAUGAUCCACCGCGCCUGGCCUCAAAAAGCAUUUUUAAUUUAAAUAAAUAAAGUAUGAGGGCGGCCUUCGUGAUGUCCUUCGACUUAGUGGUGGCAAUUUUUAGAGAUGGCCCAAGCAAGGCUUAGGAGAAGGUAGGUGAGCCAAGGGGCAACACCCAGGAACCCAGAAGCCGGCUGGCCAGGUAGUGGAAAGGCGCAGGCGCAGGGGCGAGCGAAGCCUCGGUGGAGCGGAGCCGCCUGCACCUCCAGAGAGGCGCCAUACGGGGGCCGCCGCGGAGGCCGACUCAGCGCCGAGCGCUAAGAGAAACCGGGCUGAUGCAGCAGGCGGGAAACAAGCCGUAGAAAUUCUUGAGACACGGGUUCGUCGCCAGCUUCCUGGUGCAAAACCCAACACCUGGCUCACAAAACGCUAGGUAACAUCUCAUGGUUCCACUGGGGCUCGAACCCAGGACCUUCUGCGUGUAAAGCAGACGUGAUAACCACUACACUAUGGAACCCCACACGACUAAAACGUUCCUCCAGGAUUUGAUAAUUGUUCAAAAAGACAUUUUGGCACUGGGAAAUGGUCAUGUAGACUUGACAUCCGGCGAUUGUGCACAGAGAAAAACUUUCAAAAGGAUUCCUCAUUUUCCAGUAUUCAGAGGAGCACGACCGCACAGAAACAUUGUCAAAAUGUCUGCGUCUCCAGCUUCCUGAACCAAAACCCACGAUUGGGCUCGCAAAAUGUUAAUACUAAACAUUAUAAAGAAAGGAAAGAAAAGAAAAAGGUAUGAAUCACGCCGUGGUUCCACUGGGGCUCGAACCCAGGACCUUCUGCGUGUAAAGCAGACGUGAUAACCGCUACACUAUGGAACCGCGUGCGGAAUGGCUGUCUCUGGAUUUAGCAAUUCUGCAUAAAGACAUGUUAACAACGUGGACUGAAAGGGAUUUACUGCUCAGCGAUCACGAAAAGAGAAACUUUCACCAGGAUUACAGACUUUCCAGUGUAAUUCCUACCCACGCUCUCUUUAGAGACAAAGGUUCCACACUUACUUGUGGAAAGAAAGUGCCUCCCCUGAUGUGUUCAUCGCGGAGAGGUCGCACGUGUCUGGCUCUGUGGCGCAAUGGAUAGCGCAUUGGACUUCUAGAUAGUUAGAGAAAUUCAAAGGUUGUGGGUUCGAGUCCCACCAGAGUCGCUUUUUGUUUGAAGAAGAGCAAACGGAAAGUUAGGCGGAGGGAAUGGAUAUAAAAUAGAUGAAACGAGAACUGUCUACCAUUUAAAAUUUCCGGAAUGAUGUGAAUUGCAGCUAAUUGCAGUUCCUGGUUAUGUCCCUUCACUUGAAGGCGUAAAGAAUCCCGUUCCUCUAUCGAGCCUUUUCUCCUUCACUUUUACCUGGCCCCAGUUUCUAGUGGCGAGAUAAAGAAAUUAGGGAAAUAUAAUCAAAGUUACCAAGUUU